rnacentral:rRNA from 1 species
AGUGAACGCUGGCGGUAGGCCUAACACAUGCAAGUCGAACGGCAGCACAGUAAGAGCUUGCUCUUACGGGUGGCGAGUGGCGGACGGGUGAGGAAUACAUCGGAAUCUACUUUUUCGUGGGGGAUAACGUAGGGAAACUUACGCUAAUACCGCAUACGACCUACGGGUGAGAGCAGGGGAUCUUCGGACCUUGCGCGAUUGAAUGAGCCGAUGUCGGAUUAGCUAGUUGGCGGGGUAAAGGCCCACCAAGGCGACGAUCCGUAGCUGGUCUGAGAGGAUGAUCAGCCACACUGGAACUGAGACACGGUCCAGACUCCUACGGGGGGCAGGAGUGGGGAAUAUUGGACAAUGGGCGCAAGCCUGAUCCAGCCAUACCGCGUGGGUGAAGAAGGCCUUCGGGUUGUAAAGCCCUUUUGUUGGGAAAGAAAAGCAGCAGGUUAAUACCCCGCUGUUCUGACGGUACCCAAAGAAUAAGCACCGGCUAACUUCGU